rnacentral:rRNA from 1 species
UACGUAGGGUGCAAGCGUUAUCCGGAAUUAUUGGGCGUAAAGAGCUCGUAGGCGGUUUGUCGCGUCUGCUGUGAAAACUGGAGGCUCAACCUCCAGCCUGCAGUGGGUACGGGCAGACUAGAGUGCGGUAGGGGAGAUUGGAAUUCCUGGUGUAGCGGUGAAAUGCGCAGAUAUCAGGAGGAACACCGAUGGCGAAGGCAGAUCUCUGGGCCGUAACUGACGCUGAGGAGCGAAAGCGUGGGGAGCGAACAGG